GAGGGUUUAGCUCAGUGGUAGAGUACCUGCUUAGCAUGCAUAAGGCCCUGGGUUCAGUCCCCACUACCUCCA
rnacentral:tRNA from 1 species